AUUGAACGCUGGCGGCGUGCUUAACACAUGCAAGUCGAACGAUGAAGCUAGAGCUUGCUCUGGUGGAUUAGUGGCGAACGGGUGAGUAACACGUGAGUAACCUGCCCCGAACUCUGGGAUAACUGCUGGAAACGGUAGCUAAUACCGGAUAUGACCAAUGAAGGCAUCUUCUGUUGGUGGAAAGAAUUUCGGUUCGGGAUGGACUCGCGGCCUAUCAGCUUGUUGGUGAGGUAACGGCUCACCAAGGCGACGACGGGUAGCCGGCCUGAGAGGGUGAUCGGCCACACUGGGACUGAGACACGGCCCAGACUCCUACGGGAGGCAGCAGUGGGGAAUAUUGCACAAUGGGCGCAAGCCUGAUGCAGCAACGCCGCGUGAGGGAUGAAGGCCUUCGGGUUGUAAACCUCUUUUAGCAGGGAAGAAGCGAAAGUGACGGUACCUGCAGAAAAAGCACCGGCUAACUACGUGCCAGCCGCCGCUGUAA
rnacentral:rRNA from 1 species